rnacentral:lncRNA from 1 species
AAUCAGAGGAUGCGAUUGCUGACCCUUUGCACUUUGGCAUGGCCCAUCCCCUAAUUUCUGACCAGAAGCCCUCCCUCUACCCUAAGCUCGUGCGUCACGACGCCGCCAGCUGAUCGGAGCCUGGAGCCGGUGUGUGCUGGGUGCCGAGAAGAGACAGCGCCGCCGGCCGUGGGGAGCGGACGCAGUGAUUUGCUCCCCCUCGUGCAGCAACCCCCACACCCAGCACCAGGCCCCCAGAACUCUCCUUCCAGCUGAACUCCCUGGGAACAAGUCAGUUGGGCUGAUCACUGAACUCACAUUUCUGGACCUGAGGAGCCUGUUCCUCUCACGCCCUCACCUGGCUGAGCCGCAGUAGUUCUUCAGUGGCAAGCUUUAUGUCCUGACCCAGCUAAAGCUGCCAGUUGAAGAACUGUUGCCCUCUGCCCCUGGCUUCGAGGAGGAGGAGGAGCUGCUUUCCCCAUCAUCUGGAAGGUGACAGAAAUGGGCUGGGAAGGUCCGAACAGCAGGGUGGAUGAUACGUUUUGGGCAAGUUGGAGAGCCUUUGCCCAGAUUGGCCCAGCAAGGAGCGGUUUUAGAUUAGAGACACUGGCUGGAUUGAGGAGUAGAAGGCUCAAACAACCCAAGGCUUUCUGCCUCCGAGAUGUGGCACCAUAGUGCGGUGCCCUGUGGCUUCACCGCCCUACUUCCACCUCCGCCCAGCCUGUAAUGUUUAUAUAAGCAGCCUCAAGGACCAAGAACCAUCUGCGAAAGGACACACACAGGAAAUUCAUAAAAGAAAUCUGAAUGGAUAAAACCAUGAAAAAAAGUAUGCUUCAUUAGUAAUUAAAGAAAGGCAAAUAGAGCUGGAAGCAUUUUUCCCUUAGCAAACCAUAACAGAAAAAAAUAAGACCCAAUAUUGGCAAAGAGACUACUGAAAAAACAUUCCCAUACAUUGCGUGUGGGAGUAUACAUCGGUGCAGGCUUCCUGGAUGACAGUUGGGUGAUAUGUGUCAUGUGGCCUAAAAGCCUCCAUGUCAUUUGACCUACGAAUUCUAUCUUUGGGAAUUUAUCCUAAGAAAAUACUUAAGGAUUUAGUUAGUGAUAAGAUGUUCAUCCCAGCAUUGCAAUGGAGAAAAAUGGGAAGCAAUGGUUUGGUUGGGAAUUUAUUCCUUUUCUGCUGUAACGAAAGUUUGCAAUAGGGGAUUGCUUAAGUAAAUUAUUGUAUCUCCAUCCAGAUGGUGGAGUACCGCGCAGACAUUAAAAGUCAUGUAAAAGAACAUCUGACUGAAAGAAAAAUGCUCCUUGAAUAUUAAAAGGUUGUAAAAAUAGUGCAUGUUAUGUGAUUUCAAUUUUGUUUUUUAAAAUAUGGGUGUAUGCUUGUAUACGUAGAGCAGAUAAAAAAGACGGAAGGCAUACUAAAAAAUGUUGAGUGGUUAUCUUUGUAUGGUGGAACAAAGUCACUGUAAUUUUCAUCUUUGGUUUUUCUGUAAUUUCCAAAUUUUCCACAUUUUGUAUUUCAUAUAAUAUAAUUUAAGAGAUCAGUGUUAUUAUUUAAACCUUUGGAGAGGUGGGGGUAGAAGAAUGAAGGGAAGACCUCAGCUUUUUGGUGAGAAGGUUUGGUUGGGGCACCUCUUGGUUUAUGAACUUAAUUCUUUGAAGUAGCUGGAAUCCUCCCUCUCAGCCUGCAGGAAACAGCUCUGACUUGCUGACUGUCUGCCAGCUGAAGAGGUGGAGUGGAGUAAGGUGGAAGGAAAGCAGUGCAACCUGGGGCUCUUCAGGUGGUGAGGGGCUGGGGGAGGCUCUUCCUCUUAAGGCUGGAGGGUUCUGGAAUCCUAACCGCCCUGCUACUAAGAGCAGGACAGGUCUGUUUUUCUCUUCUGACUCUGUCCCAGCCUUGAAGGGACCCUGUGU